rnacentral:pre_miRNA from 2 species
AGUUUUAUUUGGUCCUGAUUGUUGUUCAGUCGGGGUACAGUCGGUCAAAUAAAGCUGG